GGCUCGUUGUUCUUUCUGGGUUUCUUCAGGUUGAUUUUUGCCUAGUGGUUUUCUUCAUUCAGAUCCUAGAGAGUUUAUUAAUCCAUUCCGUCUUCAAAAUCUUCCAGUCAUGGUGCUGAUCUUUUUCUGGGGAAAUCUCUUAUGUAAUCUCAGUGGUUCCAUGGAUGAAAGCCCCUAGAUUUUAUUUUCUUAUCUAGCCAUGUAACCUAAGUCAUGGUAGUUGGAUCAGCUAUAGGACACAUCUCAUGAAUAGAAGAAUGUAUGCCCCGCUCAGUACUAUGGUGUUUGCCUAACUCUGCUCUGGACUGACUUCAUUUCUCCCAUCCGGUUUAUGAGUUAGACGCAGUACUUCUCCCUGUGUCUGUUGCCUCCCGUGGUUACUUGGUCUGUUAUGUGCCUAGGCUUGAUCAUUGCUCUGAAGAUGGGGUGAGAGGGGCAGUUCCAAGCCAUCCCUCCAGGAGCCCACCACCUCAUUGGGGUCACUGCAUCAAGCACACUGCCUCAGCCAUUGCAAAUACCAUCGGUAUUGAGGGGACAGAUAGGGCCUGGCUCCUCUCCUGUUGCCAGGGCUAGGGUUCUGUUGCUCUUGCUCUUUUUCUUGCUGUUGCUUUUGUUUGGAUGAUUGUGUUUUGUUUUGUUUCUUUGAGACAGUGUCUCUGCUUAGUCCUGGCAUCAAACUCAGAGUCCUCUUGCUCCGCCUCCCAUGUGCUGGGGUUAAAGGUGUGCGCCAUCAUACCUGGCUAGAGAUGUGUCUCUUUAUGUAUUUGGGAUACCAGCGUAAUAAGUUUCUCAGAUAUAUUGUCAUUGUUUGCUUUUAUGCAUUUCAUAACUUUGUUUAAAUUUAGAGAUUCUUUUUCCUAUGGGAAUGUAGAAAUGCUGCAACUGUUAAAAUCUUGUUGUCAUGGUAGCUUUUCCCAGUGAACCCCGUAUACCUCAUGCACCUUGUGUUUCUUGUGUUCCUCAUGCUGGUCGAUUCCCUCCCAUUCCACAUAUAUUUUGGGGGCAGUGGUUCAUCUAGUAGCGUGCCUGCCUCACACACAGCCUGCCUCACACACAGUGCACAGUCUGAUCCCCAGCACCACACAAGCUGGUUUCGGUCGGACAUAUCUCCCAGCAUUUGAGAGAUGGAGGCAGGAGAUGCAGUUCAAGGUCAUUCUUGACUACACAGCAACCUUGAGGACAGACUGGGAUACAAGCAUCUCAGCUAAGACAAUACACGGAGCUGGUAUGAUGGCUCAGCAGUUAAAGGUGCCUACGACCAAGCUGUUGACCUGAGUACAGUGCCCAGGAUGCACACAGCGGGAGGAGAGAACCAGCCCCCAACACUUGUCCUCAACCUCCACACACAAUAAAUAAGUAUGGUUUUAAACGUUUUUUUUUUUAAUCAAGUAGAAAUAAGCAUGAGUAUAAGACAAUUUUGAUUAAGAUGCUGCAGAAGAAAAUUACUGCCAUUGAGUAAGACAGUCUGCAAGUCAAACUCUUGAGUUGGCUGGAAGAGAAAACUUUGCAAGCCAAACCAAAAAGGUAACAGAUGCCCCAGAUAGGAGAGCAGUUCUGACCUGAGAAAACCCAGGUUGUAGGUGGGUAAGAGCAGUGCCCAUGCAGGAUGCUGGAGACAGAGUGAGCGCACCCUUCUCAGAACAGAUAACCCUGACCUCUAGAAGCCAACUCUGAGCUUGAUUGUUGACAGCCAGUAAGAACAGAAAUAAUAAUUUUUAAAAUGUCAUUGGUUGGCUACCAAUGUCAUUAGUUGAAGAGAGAAUAUUUCUGUCUGAAUAUGUUUUGGGGGGGAAAAAAAAGUAAAGACCCACUCCAGC
rnacentral:lncRNA from 1 species